CCUGCCCCUAGAGGUGUUGCAGGUAUGGCUGCCGUGUCACAUGCGUGCCGUAGGUGGCAGAGAGGAGAGGGCCUUCAUAUAUGCUCCGUGUUCUGACCUGAGGACAUCCGAAUGAUUAGUAGCCUAACCCU
ensembl:snoRNA